AGGCCCUGACAGGGAGCACGCAGGCAGGGUGGCCAGCGUGGCUGGAGCGGAGUGGCCAAGGGCUGGGGUGGGGUGAGGGGCAGGGGCCAGCUGUGGAAUGCUGCUCCUACGUGCUAGUGUUCUAAGACUCAUUCAGCACUGCCCUGAGUAUCUUGACUCUGAACCUGUCCCUGCCCUGACCCCUUCCCCAAUCAACUUUAAUUUUAGGGACCCACCCAUCACAGUAAAUGCCAGCACUGCUGAUGCCAAAACAAUGUUAUUUGUGUAAGUAUGUGUUUUGUAUUUUACCGCCUUAAUCCUGUCUUCAACCUCUCCUCUUCUGUCCCACCCAAGUAUCUGCCCUUCCUUUCUUGACUCCUUCCAGAGGCCCUCGGAAUUUGUGACCUGAAGGAAGAAGAGCAGGGCCGUGGGAAGUAUGUAACCAGUGUCAUGCCCCUGGUCCCAAGGAAGCAGUGGCUUGGUAAAGAGGGGACCCCCGUCAAUAACUCCCUGUAAUUACUGGGCACCCACUCUGAGCUCCUCAGUGGAAUCCUAAGGUUAAUAAGACUGUCUCUAGCCACUGGGGCUCCCAGCCUGGAGUGAGGUAAGAGGAGUGGAGCCGGCUGGGGAGGGAGACGAACACAUACACAGAAGAUUCAGACACACUUGCAAUGUAUUGCUGGGGAUUCUCCAGCAUUGGCAUGAUGGAGAGGGUGGAGAAUCAUUUGACCGCCUCCGCCUAGGAUUGCAGAGUUCAGCUGGCCAUCAUCCACCAGCCGGGGGACUGUGCACAUCAGUUAACCUCUCCUCUCAGGCCUUGAAAAGCACCAGGCUUAGUACACGUUUGUUAAAUGAAUGCACUGCAGUUUUUUUGCUUGUUAAAGGCAGGUAAUAAUAAUGAUAUUGCUGACUAAGGGCUCCCAUCCACUCCCAGUGAGCCCGGUGCCCCCCCGGGCCUCCUCAGUGAGCUGAGGAGGCUCAGCAGUGCCUGCACGUCCCCUCGCCACAAUGUCAUGUGCCACCUCUUCAAAGGAGGGAUGUACCAGCUAGUGGACGUGACCUUGACUGCAAAGGGCGGCACGCAGCUGAUGUAAUGGUCGCUUAAGUGUUCACAAAUGCCUGAACACCCUGUCCUACCUGGUCCUACCUGGAUGCUGGCCUCAGUAAGCUCCUGGGCUCAUUGAAGAUGAACCUAGCAGUAGUAUUUACACCACUUGUUGUGUGCCCACUGUGGGCCCGGCGCCAUGCCGAGUGCUCUAUGGAUGUGAGUGCUGGGAGAGAAAAGCAUACGACAUAGACAGGGAGGUCAAGCUCCACCACGCAGAUGAGGUGCAGGCCACCAGUCUUCCUCUGCCACAUCUCUUUCUGAAAAGGCAGCCUGUGCUGAGAAACCAUGACUGAGUAAGCCAAGCUUUGUUGGCCGCACCUGCCAAGCCACAGGGUGCCUCAGGCUUGGAGCAUCCCGGAGCCAGUUACAACCCAAGACUUCAGCCUUCUGGAAGGUGUUGGGUCAGCCACCCUGAAGGACGAUCCUGCCCAAGUGACAUGCUUUGCUCUUCCUUCUCACCCAGGACUUCACAUUCACCCUUGCAAUCCAUGUGGGGACACUGUUGGAUAGGAGGCGUGGUCCCAGCGUGGUCUCCCUGUCUGGGCCUCUGCCUAUGCCAAAUGUUUGCCUUACGCUGCACACUCAAGAGGUUCCAUGUAUACAGAUGGGAAUUCCAGAGCUACAGAAAAGGCAGCAAGCACCAUGAUUUAAGCUAACCAGUGUGGAUUCACACCUUCCUCUCUCUCUAUCAGUGGCAGAACUACCAGCUAGAGUAAGAAGUGGUUGAUCCAGGACCUAAACAUUCUGGAAACUCUUGCCCACUUCUGGGAGAAAUGACCCAAUCCAUAGUACUAAGCACACCUUAACUUUCGUAGGACGCAGGCAAGUUGUCAUACCGUGUGCCUAAAUAUAGAAAAAUGAUCCACUGGACUAAUAAAGUGUUAAAUAAAAUAUGUCCUGACUGUCUACUUUGACAACAUACUUUCAUAAUGACAAAACUUAAAAAUGUAUAAAGCUAUGGUUUUUAUAUAGUUGAAAAUUGACAAAACAGAAGACUAAAUUUACUUAUUAUUGCACAUGAUGGGCGGGCUAUGUUUGGUUGAG
rnacentral:lncRNA from 10 species